CUGAGCCUGAGCAGAAGGGUGUUUUUUUUAAAAUUGCUCCUUUGGUCAACGUGACCCGUAUUACUUCAUUUGUCGAUCGACAGUUCGCGAGGUGACACACGAAAAUGCAAUCAGUCAUUUAUUUCCACUUGGCAUAGUCUACCUUCAUUGGAAGAAUAGAGCAACGAAAAGCAGCCAUACUGCCCCGACGAACUCGAGGAUUUUCCACGUUGACCUCGAAUGGCGUCCAAAUUACUUUUGGCACCAAAAAGUAAAUUUCCCGAGACUAGUCCUGCAUGGACGCGCACAGGAGUGGAGAGGAUGCGAACAAUGAAAUUGGCUGCCAAAAGCCUGUAGGGGGCAGCGUGAACGUCUGGUCGGAACUGCUCCGGCCGGAACUGCUCCGGCCGGAAGUUGACACUGCAGACGUAGAAGAUGAUUCGACUGUAUUCCACAUGCCUCUGCCUGUCGCGUUGCUGCCUAAACUUUGGUGAUAACUUUGCAACCGCCGCUGUUUCAAAGUUCAGUCUUCAACUUAUUGCUUCUAAUUGUAUUAUUGUCUAAAUAAUGCAGCCUAUUUAGAAUAGACGGCAGCACAAUCGGA